AUCCAGAUGACGAAUGUCAAAUAGGACGAAACACUCAUCCUGGAU
rnacentral:hammerhead_ribozyme from 1 species